AUUGAACGCUGGCGGCAUGCCUUACACAUGCAAGUCGAACGGCAGCACGGGAGCAAUCCUGGUGGCGAGUGGCGAACGGGUGAGUAAUAUAUCGGAACGUGCCCAGUCGUGGGGAUAACGUAGCGAAAGCUACGCUAAUACCGCAUACGAUCUAUGGAUGAAAGCGGGGGAUCGCAAGACCUCGCGCGAUUGGAGCGGCCGAUAUCAGAUUAGGUAGUUGGUGAGGUAAAGGCUCACCAAGCCGACGAUCUGUAGCUGGUCUGAGAGGACGACCAGCCACACUGGGACUGAGACGCGGCCCAGACUCCUACGGGAGGCAGCAGUGGGGAAUUUUGGACAAUGGGCGGCAAGACCCGUGAUCCAGCAAUGCCGCGUGCAGGAUGAAGG
rnacentral:rRNA from 1 species